rnacentral:rRNA from 1 species
GUGGAUCCUGUGAACUGCAGGACACAUGAACACCGACAAGUUGAACGCAUAUUGCACAUCGUACACCAGUACGAUGUACACAUUUUUGAGUGCCUAUAUUUAUCGAUUCAACUAUACGUGCGCACCCGUGCCUUAGUGAAGCGCGUAUGGGUGCGCGUCUGAUGAUGCGUAUGCGUAGUGAUGCUUUACCGUCUUGUCAUCCUCUCGCGUUGGUAAAGCAUUCAAGCUCACGAUCAGGCGUUUGCGAGCGAACCGCCUAGUCCUUACUUGCCUACGGCCGACCGGGCCCGUACAACCCCCAGCCCAGGCCCGGCGGCAGGUAGUACGAUACGGCGGCGAUAGAUACACGCUAUGCAUUGUAUGCCUCAAAUAAUGUGUGAUUACCCCCUAAAUUUAAACAUAUCGACAC